GAAUCACUUUCCCUAAGCAAUUAUGAUUUUACAAAAUGCUGUCAAGACCAUCACAAAGUUUUACUGCCCAGACGGAGCUAAAUGCCUGAAGCUUUCAGCAGUGAUUUAUUAUUUACUCUGGAGGCACUGGCAAGGAUCAGCAAGGAUGGUUCAUCUUUUUACCAUGGUGUGUCAGCUGAGAUGGCUCCACUGGGACUGAAAGAUCCACUCUCAAGUUGGCUCACUCCUGUGGCUGGCAAGUUGGUGAUGGCUGUCAGCUGAGAGUUCAGCUGGGACUGAGGGCAGGGGCACCUGAGUUCCUUUCCACUAGCGCCUCUUCACAGGCUGCUUCGGCUUCUUCACAUUAUGAUGGCUGAGUUCCAAGAUAAAGAAAAAUUCAAAGGCUGUAUGACUUUAUAAAACCUUAGUAACACUUGCUUAGGCUAUAUUAGCUUUAUAUAUAGCUUCAGAAAUCAUUUAGCAUGACUUCCACUGUCAUCACAAACCUGCCCAGAAUCAGGGCGAGGAAACAUACAUUUCACCUCUAACAGGAAGGGCUCAAAGUCACUUUGUAAAGAAGCACACGUGGGAGGGAGAUAAUGCUGCAAUCCUCUUUGGGAAGGGAAUCUGCCACAGGAUCCAAUUCCCUUAGUAGGUCAUCUUUAUCAUUUGUUAAAUUCCUUACACACAUGGGUCUGUCAACUGAGUGCUCUACUCUGUUACUCUGUUCUAUUUGUAUUUUGCCACAAUAAGGCUAUGUCUUAAUAUCUUGACACAAUAUGUCUUAACAUCUGAUAGGGCAAGUUUCCUCUGUGUUUUCCUUUCUCAAAGUUGUUAUUCAUGAACCUCUUAAUCUUCCAUACAACUUCUAAAACACAUCAUCAAGCUCCUUAAAAAAAUCCUACUGGAAUUUUGUUAAGAUUGCCUUGAAAUUAUAAGUUAAUUUGGGGAGAACUGUGGCCAGGCGCAGUGGCUCACACCUGUAAUCCCAGCACUUUGGGAGGCCAAGGCAGGCAGAUCACUUGAGGUCAGAAGUUUGAGACCAGCUUGGCCAACAUGGUGAUACCCCAUCUCUGCUAAAAAUAGAAAAAUUAGCCAGGCGUGGUAGUGCACAUCUGUAAUCCCAGCUACUCAGGAGGCUGAGGCACAAGAGUCACUUGAACCCAGGAGGAGGAGGUUGCAGUGAGCCAAGAUCACGCCACUGGACUCCAGCCUGGGCAAUAGAGCAAGACUCUGUCUCAAAAAAAAAAAAAAAUUGAGGGAGAAUUAACACAACUUUAUAUUGUCAUCUGAUUAAAAUAUGUAAAAAUUACUCCAUUUAUUCAUGCUUUUUAUAGCUUUUAAUUUUUAAUAUUUUACCUAUAGAGAUCUUGUUUAUUUCCUAAAUAUUUAAUAGUUUUUGUUGCUUCCAUGAAUAUUAUUUUUUAACUAUAUUUUCUAAUCAGUUUUUGCUGGUAUUGAGAAAUUCUGUUGCAAUACAUAAGCUGAUCUUGCAUCUGGCAACCUUGCUUAACUCUAAUAGUAUGAUCUGUUGUUUUUGCUAUGUAGAUUAUCACAUUAUCUGCAAAUAAUGAUAGUUUCAUUCCUUCCCCUUUAAUUCCUAUCUCUUUUUGUUCUUCAUUUACAGUUGUCUAGAAAGUCCAGUGUUAUGCUAACAAUAGUGGGGGGUAAUGGGUAUCCUUGUCCUACUACUAGUCUUAAAAUGUAAUACAUCUUUCUCCAUUAAGUAUGAUUUGUGCUCUAGGUUUUUCAAUAUAAAUAGGUAUUUAACUUUAUUAAAUAUUUUCUACAUUUACUGACAUAAUUAUGUGAUUUUUUCUUUUUGUGUAUUAAUGUGGUGAAUUAUGUUAAACCAUCCUUUUACUUCUGAACAAACUUAUCAAAUGACAAUAAA
rnacentral:lncRNA from 1 species